CUGAGUACGGCGGAACACGUGAAAUUCCGUCGGAAUCCGGGAGGACCAUCUCCCAAGGCUAAAUACUCCCUAGUGACCGAUAGUGAACCAGUACCGUGAGGGAAAGGUGAAAAGCACCCCGGAAGGGGAGUGAAACAGUUCCUGAAACCGUGUGCCUACAAGUAGUUAGAGCCCGUUAAUGGGUGAUAGCGUGCCUUUUGUAGAAUGAACCGGCGAGUUACGAUUUGUUGCAAGGUUAAGCGGAAAAAGCGGAGCCGUAGCGAAAGCGAGUCUGAAUAGGGCGCAUAAGUAACAGGUCGUAGACCCGAAACCAGGUGAUCUACCCAUGUCCAGGAUGAAGGUAAGGUAAUACUUACUGGAGGUCCGAACCCACGCACGUUGAAAAGUGCGGGGAUGAGGUGUGGGUAGCGGAGAAAUUCCAAUCGAACUUGGAGAUAGCUGGUUCUCUCCGAAAUAGCUUUAGGGCUAGCCUCGAGGUAAAGAGUCAUGGAGGUAGAGCACUGUUUGGACUAGGGGCCCUUCUCGGGUUACCGAAUUCAGAUAAACUCCGAAUGCCAUGUACUUAUACUCGGGAGUCAGACUGCGAGUGAUAAGAUCCGUAGUCGAAAGGGAAACAGCCCAGACCACCAGUUAAGGUCCCCAAAUAUAUGUUAAGUGGAAAAGGAUGUGGGGUUGCUUAGACAACCAGGAUGUUGGCUUAGAAGCAGCCACCAUUGAAAGAGUGCGUAAUAGCUCACUGGUCGAGUGACCCCGCGCCGAAAAUGUACCGGGGCUAAACAUAUUACCGAAACUGUGGAUGAACCUCUUUAGAGGUUCGUGGUAGGAGAGCGUUCUAAGGGCGGUGAAGUCAGACCGGAAGGACUGGUGGAGCGCUUAGAAGUGAGAAUGCCGGUAUGAGUAGCGAAAGAAGGGUGAGAAUCCCUUCCACCGAAUAUCUAAGGUUUCCUGAGGAAGGCUCGUCCGCUCAGGGUUAGUCGGGACCUAAGCCGAGGCCGAUAGGCGUAGGCGAUGGACAACAGGUAGAGAUUCCUGUACCAGUGCUAAUUGUUUAACCGAUGGGGUGACACAGAAGGAUAGGGAAUCGCACGAAUGGAAAUGUGCGUCCAAGCAGUGAGUGUGAGAAGUAGGCAAAUCCGCUUCUCGCGAAGCAUGAGCUGUGAUGGGGAAGGAAAUUAAGUACGGAAGUUCCUGAUUUCACGCUGUCAAGAAAAGCCUCUAGGAAGAGUAGUACUGCCCGUACCGCAAACCGACACAGGUAGAUGAGGAGAGAAUCCUAAGGUGAGCGAGAGAACUCUCGUUAAGGAACUCGGCAAAAUGACCCCGUAACUUCGGGAGAAGGGGUGCUCUAUUAGGGUGCAAGCCCGAGAGAGCCGCAGUGAAUAGGCCCAGGCGACUGUUUAGCAAAAACACAGGUCUCUGCAAAACCGUAAGGUGACGUAUAGGGGCUGACGCCUGCCCGGUGCUGGAAGGUUAAGAGGAGUGCUUAGCUUCGGCGAAGGUACGAAUUGAAGCCCCAGUAAACGGCGGCCGUAACUAUAACGGUCCUAAGGUAGCGAAAUUCCUUGUCGGGUAAGUUCCGACCCGCACGAAAGGCGCAACGAUCUGGGCACUGUCUCAACGAGAGACUCGGUGAAAUUAUAGUACCUGUGAAGAUGCAGGUUACCCGCGACAGGACGGAAAGACCCCGUGGAGCUUUACUGCAACCUGAUAUGGAAUGUUUGUACCGCUUGUACAGGAUAGGUAGGAGCCGAAGAGACGUGUGCGCUAGCAUACGAGGAGGCAAUGGUGGGAUACUACCCUGGCUGUAUGACCAUUCUAACCCGCCACGCUUAGCGCGUGGGGAGACAGUGUCAGGUGGGCAGUUUGACUGGGGCGGUCGCC
rnacentral:rRNA from 1 species